rnacentral:rRNA from 1 species
UACGUAGGUGGCAAGCGAUACUCGGAAUCACUAGGCGUAAAGCGCAGGUAGGCGGUUUGGAAAGUCUCUUUGAAAGCUCCCGGCUCAACUGGGAGAGGCCAAGGGAAACUACCAGGCUAGAGUGCGGUAGAGGUAGCUGGAAUUCCCGGUGUAGCGGUGAAAUGCGUAGAUAUCGGGAGGAAUACCUAUGGCGAAAGCAGGCUACUGGACCGUCACUGACUCUGAUCUGCGAAAGCUAGGGGAGCAAACAGG